CAGUAGCCGCGGGAAUACGUAGGGUGCAAGCGUUAAUCGGAAUUACUGGGCGUAAAGCGUGCGCAGGCGGUGUUGUAAGACUGAUGUGAAAUCCCCGGGCUCGACCUGGGAACUGCAUUGGUGACUGCAGCGCUGGAGUGCGGCAGAGGGGGAUGGAAUUCCGCGUGUAGCAGUGAAAUGCGUAGAUAUGCGGAGGAACACCGAUGGCGAAGGCAAUCCCCUGGGCCUGCACUGACGCUCAUGCACGAAAGCGUGUGGAGCAAACAGGAUUAGAUACCCCCGUAGUCCCUGUCUCUUAUAC
rnacentral:rRNA from 1 species